rnacentral:rRNA from 1 species
GUCCACGCCUAACUAUGUCAACUAGACGUUGGUUCUUAAUGAACUUAGUGUCGAAGCUAACGCGUUAAGUUGACCGCCUGGGAGUACGGCCGCAAGGUUGAACUCAAGGAAUUGACGGGCCCGCACAAGCGGUGGAGCAUGUGGUUUAAUUCGAUGCAACGCGAAGAACCUUACCAGCCCUUGACAUCCUGGGAACUUUGUAGAGAUACAUUGGUGCCUUCGGGAAUCCAGUGACAGGUGCUGCAUGGCUGUCGU